UGAGACGAGAUACUGGAUGAGUGUGAGGCGUUGGAUUGAUUUCACUCAAUCCGAGCCCCACAUUCAUCAAGGAUUGGUCUUCUAAAAAAGCCUUAUCCAAUUUUGUGACGGGGGGGAGGGGACUCAAAAAGAAUUUUCUGAAAAAAAAGGGUUAAAAAGCUUAUUGAACUGAUGGUUUUCGGGGUUGAUAUUCUUCUUUGAAGAGUCAUUUCAAGGUUGAAGAGAAGUAUAGGUACAAAUUUUUCUAUUUUUCUGAAUCCGGAUUUGAGUUUCAAGGAGAUAAAAGUUGAAGUUCAGGCUUGGAUUUCUAUGGUUGUUCUGUUGAUUUGCUGCUGAAUUUCGCUAGUAUUCGAAGGCAAAAGGCGUAUUAUUAAGGCUGUAAUUGUUAAAAGAAGUCGGUAACUUCAGGUUUGGUUUUCUUUCUCACAUAUAACUCUGGUUUUAGCUGUUCUUGAGCUAUGGAAUUUCUGAGUUUGCAUCUCUUUGGUUGUUGUCAUUUAAGUUUUUGUGGGAUCGAAUCAGUGAAUUCGAGUUUAGUUUCUUAUUGAUUUGUGACUAGUUGAGAAUUUUUUUUUGUGUAAAGUCUGUUGAGCUAUGUAGUUUCUUUGAUGCGCUGUGGCUGAGAACUUGGUUCGCGUCUGUUUAUUUGACAUUGUUUGGACUUAAAACUAGAGGCUGUGGUCCAGUUGUGCGAGUUGAGCUCAACCUUGAAGUUCUGGGAAUUGAAAAAUAGUUUCUCGUUUCUACUUUAGUAUUAAUUCAUCGAGUGUUAUUACUUGAGAAAUUUGAGUUGAAUAUUUGCAUUGGUAGCAUCUUCGUGGUGAGAUUUGAGUCCGACCAUGAUCGCUAGUUGAGAAUAUGAUCCUACUUCCUUCAAAAAGAGCAUGAUCUUACUUUGCAUCAAACUGCUUCUUUGUUUCAUGUCGAAGGGCAUUCUGAUCUUCAUGUUGUAAAAAUUAUGCAUCUGCUGUACUCAUGAAGCAGUUACGUUGAGCAUUUUGCCUAUUUUCUUGAGGUUGUACUUGAAAUGCGUUACUUGAAUCUGUUGCCUACAAGAACUUGUGAAUUUGGUAUGAUGCUCGACGAUUCAUUCUUAUUGGAUCAUGGUCUAAAGUGGUGUUGAAGAUAAAUUGUUUUGCGAAUUGUAUAUGUUCAGUUUUCCUCUGUUUUUUGGCUCUUGCUUGAAAAUUUAUCUGCUUUGUUCCUGCUAUAAGAAUUCUGCUCUUUCGAGCUGUUGAAGAGGUCGAUUUAAGCAGUAAUUCAAGCCGAUAACGUGAAGUAUUUUGGACAUUUGUCUAGACUGUUAUCCCUGCUGAAAAUCUGCCCUGUUUUGCGCUGUUUGAGCAGCAGAUACGCAGCCUUUUGGGUGCAAAUUCUGCACUCUUGGCUCUCAUUGGUUUGGUUGCUGGAUAGUUUAGUAUCUAAUUGAGGUUUUAACUUUGACUGCUAGUUGUGCAAGAUAAGUUUUUCUUCAGCCAUUUGCUGAACAGCUUUGAGCUGUUUACCCUCACACUCCUGUAUGUUCCUCACCCCAACAGAUUCGCUGGUCAGCAGACAAUUUGACUUAAGUGAACCUUGUUGAUCAGUGACCUUUCUCAUCAUCAUGCUCGGGUUAAUUUUUUCAUUAGAAGCGCUUUUGUUUGUGAUGUUAUCUUUAUAUACUAUUAACAGUAACCUAUUGUUGAAUUUUCCAGCAUGUCAGUUCACUUCUUUUAAUUGGAGUAGGCGUACAUCUGUCAUUUUGAUUACAUGGAAUUGUGGUCUUACUUGGAAAACAUUAUGAAAAAUGGGAAUGUAAUUGUUUGUUUGUCAUCUCAUUUGAGCAACACUGCCACAAUUAGUACUCCAAAGAAGGAAAUCAAAAGUUGCUCAAUACUGUCUUGUGGAGAAAAUAAAAUUUUGGUCAAAACUGAUCACUGAAGUAACUGGGAAAAUUGUGAGUCUCUAGGCCAUCUCUGGCUGACUAAAAGAGAUGUAUUAAGAUGGAGUUAUUAUCUGUUUUGGUCUUAUAGCUUUACCUCAUUUUAAGUUAUUAUAGUUUUAGAAGUUUUCAUUAUCUGGAUAGAGUUGGAUAACGCCUAGUGUAUCACCCUAAGCAUGUGUAUAAUUAAUAGCCUUAUCGAAA
rnacentral:lncRNA from 1 species